AACUUAGUGGCGGACGGGUGAGUAACGCGUGGGUAACCUGCCUCAUACAGGGGGAUAACAGUUAGAAAUGACUGCUAAUACCGCAUAAGACCACAGCACCGCAUGGUGCGGGGGUAAAAACUCCGGUGGUAUGAGAUGGACCCGCGUCUGAUUAGGUAGUUGGUGGGGUAACGGCCUACCAAGCCGACGAUCAGUAGCCGACCUGAGAGGGUGACCGGCCACAUUGGGACUGAGGCACGGCCCAA
rnacentral:rRNA from 1 species